CAACUUUCAUUGCCAGGUAGCUUCAUAGAUAAAGGAAAGCCUGAAGGUUGCCUGAUAGAACAACAUGCUCCUCUGUCUCUGUCUCUCUCUUCUCUUCGUCUCUCUCUCCUACGGAUUGAAUGAUGACCAUCCUUUAUAUCCAUUCCUCAAUCAUUAUGAGCACAUUGAUUACGAUGAACAUGAUCUAUUGCAUCAUCACUAUCGUGUCCAGCGGUCAAUGUACGGGCCUA
rnacentral:lncRNA from 1 species